ensembl:snoRNA small nucleolar RNA SNORA2/SNORA34 family
AUGGCCCUGAAACAAGGCCAGCAGCUUCCUGACGAUGUUGGUUUGAAACAGGAGCCUAAAGAGAUGUCUUUCUAUGAUCUGUUGACCAUUUCAGAACAUGGGCAGUGAAAUGGUCAAUUCAUUAGAAAGAAACAGCU